UACGGGGGGGGCAAGCGUUGUUCGGAAUUACUGGGCGUAAAGCGCGUGUAGGCGGCCAUCUAAGUCGGGCGUGAAAUCCCAUGGCUCAACCGUGGAAGUGCACUCGAAACUGGAUGGCUAGAGUCCUGGAGAGGAAGGUGGAAUGCUUGGUGUAGAGGUGAAAUUCGUAGAUAUCAGGCGGAACACCGGUGGCGAAGGCGGCCUUCUGGACAGUGACUGACGCUGAGACGCGAAAGCGUGGGGAGCAAACAGG
rnacentral:rRNA from 1 species